AGAGAAAUCGCACAGCAACAGGCCGAUGACCCGAAAGCCCUCCGCCCGGCACCCGAGGGCACCCGAGGCCAACAUCUUCGUUUUGGGUCUUGUUCUCCGCCCCUAGUUCCCAGAACUCUACAGAGCCGCCAGCCCAGUAGACUGUUGUAGCCUUUUUCAGAGGGCAAAGAAACGAAACCCUUGUAGAGCUUAAAUGGUGAGAGCUGUCCGCUGUCCUGGGACCAGGUUUCCUUUAGGGUGAAGGUGUUUUGACUAUUAAAUAUGAAUAUGACUUUUCAAGG
rnacentral:lncRNA from 1 species